GCAUUGGUGGUUCAGUGGUAGAAUUCUUGCCUGCCACGCGGCACACCCGGGUCCAAUUGCCGGCCAAUGCA
rnacentral:tRNA from 1 species